UCAUGGACUAGGCCGGGAGGCUAGGCGUCUCCUGCCACCGAAAAACGCCUUGACGUCGGGGCUGAAGUCACCGGGGCAGCAUACCAGUUCCCUGGCGAUCCAGCAUUGGACAAUGAAAUUCCGUCCCCUGGGACCAGAGGUGGUGGUUCCUGCCAGUCGGAGGGUUGGCAGCCCAUCUUGGUUCCGGCCAAGGGGUCAGGCCCGGAAGGGAGCAGCCCGAUCGGGAACUCGUGGUGCUCAGGGGGUCACGGAAUUGAGAAAAAUGCUGGGCACGUCGCCACGGAACGGGAAUGCUCACCUGGUACAUGUCCAUAC
rnacentral:SRP_RNA from 1 species